rnacentral:tRNA from 1 species
GGGGACAUAGUACAACCUGGCUAGUAUUUCCGCCUCCAGAGCGGACGAUUGGGGUCCAAAUCCCCAUGUCCCCA